AGAGUAGUAGUUCAGUUGGUUAGAACGUCUCCCUGUCACGGAGAAGGUCGCGGGUUCGAGUCCCGUCUAUUCUG
rnacentral:tRNA from 1 species